UCUCUUACUACAUCCGACACUGGUGAAAAGCUCCAUCCGCAAAGCCCUCUUCUUCAAACGGCUCUUUGCUUCAUAUCCCUGCUCUCUCUCACUCCUCCCCUUUGUCUAUUGAUAUUUCCUACUAGGUGUGAAGUUAUUCUUCUCUGUUACGAUAAAAGUGCUUUUUAUCCACCAAUGUCUUCUCCUACUUCGUACAAUAAUAUUGAUUUGUCACUGUGAGACUUUCAGCACUCAAAACUGUCAUGACCCAAAAUCCACUAAGGAUCGUGAAGGCGCAGGACACUGCUGCCAGGCAAGCCCACCAAGUUACUUAAUCAAAUUCCCGUUUUAAUACUUCUGAAAUCUAUGA